rnacentral:misc_RNA from 1 species
GAUGAAGAACGUAGCGAAAUGCGAUAAGUAGUGUGAAUUGCAGAAUUCAGUGAAUCAUCGAAUCUUUGAACGCACAUUGCGCCCCUUGGUAUUCCAUGGGGCAUGCCUGUUCAAGCGUCAUUUGUACCUUCAAGCUCUGCUUGGUGUUGGGUGUUUGUCUCGCCUCUGCGUGUAGACUCGCCUCAAAACAAUUGGCAGCCGGCGUAUUGAUUUCGGAGCGCAGUACAUCUCGCGCUUUGCACUCAUAACGACGACGUCCAAAAGUACAUUUUUACACUCUUGACCUCGGAUCAGGUAGGGAUACCCGCUGAACUUAAGCAUAUCAAUAAGCGGAGGA